CAGCCAAGUCGUGAGGCGGAGCUAAUCCCUUAAAGCCAUUCUCAGUUCGGAUUGUAGGCUGAAACUCGCCUACAUGAAGCUGGAGUUACUAGUAAUCGCAGAUCAGAAUGCUGCGGUGAAUGCGUUCCCGGGUCUUGUACACACCGCCCGUCACACCACGGAAGUUGGGGGCGCCCGAAGCCACUUAGCUAACCCUUUUGAGAAGCGAGUGUCGAAGGUGAAAUCAAUAACUGGGGUGAAGUCGUAACAAGGUAAC
rnacentral:rRNA from 1 species